CCAAACUUGGUCAUUUAGAGGAAGUAAAAGUCGUAACAAGGUCUCCGUUGGUGAACCAGCGGAGGGAUCAUUAAAAAAGAGUUCCAGACUCUUAAAACCUACCGUGCUCCCUUACGAGGAUAACAGAAAGCCCCCCGGGGCAUCGUCAAUCUGAGAAGUGGCAAGAACUGCGCCCCGGCGCAUGACCAAUACAAGAAAAAUUACAACCCAUAACAAUGGAUCUCUUGGCUCUGGCAUCGAUGAAGAACGCAGC
rnacentral:misc_RNA from 1 species